AGAACGAACGUUGGCGGCAUGGAUUAGGCAUGCAAGUUGAGCGAAUCCCAGCAAUGGGGGGAAGCAGCGUAAGGGGCAGUAAUGCGUGGGUAUUUACCCUGGGGUCCGGCAUAGCCCUUCGAAAGAAGGGGGUAAUUCCGGAUGAUGUCGGGAGACCAAAGGUCCGCCGCCCUGGGAGAAGCCCACGUGAUAGUUACCUAGUUGGCGGGGUAACGGCCCACCAAGGGG
rnacentral:rRNA from 1 species